rnacentral:rRNA from 1 species
AUUGAACGCUGGCGGCAGGCCUAACACAUGCAAGUCGAACGGUAACAGGAAACAGCUUGCUGUUUCGCUGACGAGUGGCGGACGGGUGAGUAAUGUCUGGGAAACUGCCUGAUGGAGGGGGAUAACUACUGGAAACGGUAGCUAAUACCGCAUAACGUCGCAAGACCAAAGAGGGGGACCCUCGGGCCUCUUGCCAUCGGAUGUGCCCAGAUGGGAUUAGCUUGUUGGUGGGGUAACGGCUCACCAAGGCGACGAUCCCUAGCUGGUCUGAGAGGAUGACCAGCCACACUGGAACUGAGACACGGUCCAGACUCCUACGGGAGGCAGCAGUGGGGAAUAUUGCACAAUGGGCGCAAGCCUGAUGCAGCCAUGCCGCGUGUAUGAAGAAGGCCUUCGGGUUGUAAAGUUCUUUCAGCGGGGAGGAAGGGAGUAAAGUUAAUACCUUUGCUCAUUGACGUUACCCGCAGAAGAAGCACCGGCUAACUCCGUG